CCGUGCACGGCUCGGGUUGGUGGCAGCGGCCCCGCGCUGUCCCCGCGGGGACGUCCGGGGCUGCACGGUGCCUCGUGCCACGGGGGAUGGUGGGUUUUCGGGGCUCGCCGUGUAAUUCCAUCAGCCUGUGUAUCUGAGGGAUGAGGUCAGUGAGUGUGCGUGGAGGAUUUGGGGUCGGUCACCUCCCAUGCCGUCCGCACGGCCCAGGUUGGAGGCUGGGAGCAGCGGUGUGCCCGGGGUGGCUCGGAUCCCUCCCUCCGUGCGUGCGCUGUGCAGAGCGACGGGCAGAGUUUUGGGGUCGCUGCUGUGAUUUCCCCUGAGAGCUGACAUAGGGAUCUGAAUGAGGAAAUUCUUUAGCUUGUGCUUAAAUGCCACGUGAGAUUUCGCUUUACCUUCGCAGGCUUUUCACUCUGUGCCGGGCUCUCUCCAGCGGGCGCCCACCAUCCCCGUGUGCUGUGCAGGAGGUGGGGCUCAGAUCACAGUACCACGAGCGCCGUAACCGUACUGCUUAUCAUCUGGUGCUUUGAGCCCUUUGUUAACAAAGUGCAGCUUCUUAAAUGUUAAUCACUGACAGGAGUCGUCACAUGAAAAGAAAGGGGUUAUUUUAUAAGCACGGAGCAUUACAUGCUAAUCUCUGCAUGAUGAUGUUUCCUGCAAUGAGGAAAUUGCACGGCUGAGGUCGGUGUGGUGUUGGUGUCAGUAUCGCUUCCUUGAGGUGCGUGCACAGCGGCACACCCAGGGCUGGGACCGAACCCACUGCAUAGCCCUGGGCUGUGGCUACAGGAAGCGUUCGGCCAUACAGAAGCCCAUUUGGUGCCCGGAGCUGGGGGUGAGCAGGGGUGGAGGAAGCUCCAGUGUUGCCCUAGAGCUACAAGAUGAGCUUCUCUUCCUUUGGGGAACAGCUAAUGGAAGGUCCGGCUCUGUGUGCAUCCCCUGGAGCACAGGACAGCUUAUGGAGGUGCCCUGGUGCUUUACAUAACCCUCCUUAACUCCCUGUGAUUCCACCUGGACUAGUAAUAUUUCACUGGCUUUAUUUUUCAGCAUCUGAAUUGACUCCAUGUAACCACAGCCUUUCCUGCAUUAGGAGGCUUUGCUGCCCAUGGCAUGAAGGGGGAUGGCGUGGUGCACACAGACACCACAUCACCAGUGCUGCUCUGGAGCAGGGCGUGCAUCCCUGGCAUGGCAUGGAUGAUAGAGCUCAAACCCAGUGUAGGUAAAUCCGAUUUUGGUGCUUCCAGCUCGGAGCAGCAGCCAUGGGCUGACGCUGUUUGGGAGCAGCCAUCCUACAAGUUCUCUCUUUGGUUUUAAAAAAUGAAGAAAAACCAGCAAAACCACAACGUGCAGGGAUUCUUCAUUGCCUGAUGUACAACCAGGCUCCAAGUGCCCCCCGGACAGCAGGAAGCAGCUUGGUAAAUGAGCCAGGCCCUCCAGCUGCUCCUCUGGCAGAAGAAAAGAUCAUACAAUCAAUCAUAGAAACACAGCGUGGUUGGGCUGGAAGAGACCUCAAAGCCCCAGCCCCAGCCGUGGGCUUGUCUCCCCCCCCCCCCACCCCCCCCAGAUCAGGCUGCCCAGGGCCCCAUAUCAUGGCCUUGGGCACCCACAGAUGGGGCAGAGCUCUCCUUUGGUGGUUUCUGCCCACUCGUGUCUCUCUUCCCACGCAGCUCCCCCCAGUGGGAAGGUGCCUGCUGGGCUCACCGCUCCCACCCCUGCCUCUGCUGGGCCUGUCCCUGCCUGUCCCAGAGCUGCUGUGCUGCGGGCUGCUGGCUUUGCACAGGGAUUAAGAGUUCCUGGAAGCAACGCGCAUUAUGGCACUGAGCAGCUACAGCGGGGUUAAUGGAGGGUGUUGCUGGAAACCUGGGGGUUCGCUCAGGUCUGUGCAUUCAGAGCACUGCUCAGAGUGAUGAGGUUCUGCCUGAGCUUGGAGGCCCGGGGAGGUGCAGUCUGUUAGGCAGGCGCGGUCAGGUGCGGGCAUACGGAACAGAAGAAUCAAGAUAAGCACUCAGAAGUGCUUAUUCCACCUGGGAGUUUUGUCCGAGCUUGUUUUCCGAUUAAGCUGAGCAAGCAGGGCCAUCCUUUGGAUGGAGCUCUGUUGUUUCCACCAGACAACCUUCUGCUAUGCUGUUGUGAGCCUGGGCUCCUUUUCCCUGGCUGACACUUGUUUAACGAUGGGUAAACCCAAGGAGGGUUUUCCAGCUGCUCUAGCUGCCUUGCAGUUGAGUUCCUUGGUUUCAGCUGCUGAGUCCUUUGUUUGGGUCAGAUCUGCAGGGAAUUGGGCAAAUGCAGGACUGUGCAGCAUCCGACCAAGCCAGGUGGCGCAAUGCUUUUGUUUUAUAUUCCAAACGAAAGGCAUUUUGCAGCCAUUAGGGUCCCCACUCCCGGGGUCUGAGAGGCUGAACUUUAUCCAGCAGGAGUUCCCCCUCGUGCAGCUGCAGCACCGCCCAGCCUGCCCCCAGCUCUGCGCAUUGCUGGAGUGCCUGCACGGCUAUUUUUGUGCUGCGCAUGGGGCUGCAGUCAAGUGCUGCUUCUCUAUUGCGGACAGCUGAGAGUUUCCAUAACCUUUGACUGAGAAAUAACCGUAUCUUUCCUUGCAGCCACACUGCACAACAGGCAGCACAUAAGAUAACAUCAGUAUUACUGUACUAAACCCAUUUUUGGCACAUCGCUUGCUCCGGUGUUGCACUUCUUUCCACUGACUGUAAAGAAGAGGGAAUAAGUGGCACAUUCAGACCAUGGCAGAAAUGAAUAGCCUGAUGUAGUUUCCCUCUGUUUUGCUUAGGGAUUACUCAUUAAUUAACCUUUUUGUUUUUAUUUUAAACUCUCCCAUGGGUUUAUCUAACACCCUUCAGACACCGCUGCAGGCGGAGCACCAGGAGUCAGCCGUGCCUGGCACAACCCAGGGAGCAGGCUGGUGGCAGGUCACCGCUGCCAAGGUCAGCAGCUCCAGUGCUGCAGGAAAGGAAAACCCUCUGAAACACAGUCUGCUCCUUUUCCCAGCCGCCUCAGAAACAAGGAAGCAAACACAGCAACGAUAGUGUGUGCCUCCGACACGGUGCUUGUUCUGCAGAUGCUUCUCACACACCCCCUGAGGAUAUAGGUGUCCACGUUCAUUGCAUCUGCUGGAGCUCUGCCACGUGCUCCAUGGCUGUGUGUAAUGAAUGCUGGCAGCAGUCAAUCUUUCAGCAAAGGUGUACCUGUACUGGGACUGUUCAUGCCCUCUUACUCUUUGCAGGUUGGUUGUCAGGGUGAGAAAAGCAGGGCCUGGAGCUAUUCGGCUCCAUGCUGUCUCGGCUGCUAUCUGCUGCAUGCAGGUAUCUGGUUUGUAUCACAAAACAAGGUGAUGCACAUUAAAACAGGCAUAUCGGGCUACGAACAAACACAGUUUUGGACACAGUGUAAGGAUAUGAAAACAAUGGCAUACAAUUUAUUUACAGAGCUUUCUUACAACUGCACUACUAAGACAUUUUAGAGCUAACUGGGUCCCUAUGCUCCCUAUCUACUCUAUCUCUUGCUGGACGAGUCUCUCUCUGGGCACAUCACACCAGACGGGCGCUGUCAGCUGGCGCUCUCCUCUUCAGUCCAGUUCUUCCUCGGCUGUUUUGGACAUCAACUCUGUCAAAGCUCGGCUUACAGGAGAAGAGUAACUGAAAUGCAAAGGAGAAAAGGCAGUCGCCCUCGUGUCAAAACAAAAAAUCAGAAGGAUAAGAGAAGAAAGACUUUGAAUUGCAAAAACAAAGAAACCUGUAUAGAAAAACAUCUGUGAUUUGGUUUCAACCUCCAAUUCAGGGCAAAGCAUUCAGAGACUGUCAGAGCCCCGCCGGUGUUUCCACCCGAGAUGUGCCCUCAGUGAUGAAGAUGCAGAACGUCUCUGGCCAUCCUCACCUCCUCCGCUGCCCCAGGCUCACCUCAUGGGAACGCCCCUCCCAGCCAGGAGGAGGUGCUGGGAGCUGGGCCAUGCGCACACACACAGCCAUACCUAGCUCUGAGCAGAAGGUGCGUCCUCUUCCCUGUGAUGCUCUGCUGGCAGGACGGGUGUUCCCAGAGCUGCUGUUCUUCUGCCGGCGCUGAAGCAGCAUCAGGCGUUGGUCCUCAUCACAUGCUGGAGGGGAGAGUGGUGUCCCAGGUCUCCGUGGCUCAUCUGCAGCAGAGACCAAAGAAAUUCCUGUUAUCAACUUUCAGUAUCGCUAUCAACUCUGUCUAUCAGCUAUCUCACAAUGUCUCUGUCCCCUAUUUCCCAAUCAAAUAUCCCAGUAUGAUAUAACUAUCUAUCUCACUAGCAACUCUUUUGCUUUCCACUAAGUAUCUUCGAUCUACACACCAUCUAUCAAUUACCUGUCUUGCUAUGCACUGUCUUUCCACUAUCUCACUACCAACUAUUUUUCUUGCUAUCAACUGUCUUGCUAUACACUAGGUUUCUUACUAUCCACCAACUCUCUCCCUGUCAAUUCUUUUGCUGUCCACUAUCAACCCAAGAACUGUCUCACUAUCCA
ensembl:lncRNA